UACGGAGGAUGCGAGCGUUAUCCGGAUUUACUGGGUUUAAAGGGUGCGCAGGCGGUUGUUUAAGUCAGGGGUGAAAGCCCUAUGCUCAACAUAGGGAUUGCCUUUGAUACUGAACGGCUAGAGUGAAGAUGGAGUGGGUGGAAUGUGUUGUGUAGCGGUGAAAUGCAUAGAUAUAACACAGAACACCGAUCGCGAAGGCAGCUCACUAAUUUUCAACUGACGCUCAGGCACGAAAGCGUGGGGAGCAAACAGG
rnacentral:rRNA from 1 species